GAUGAACGCUAGCGGCAGGCCUAAUACAUGCAAGUCGAACGGUGUCUUCGGACAUAGUGGCGCACGGGUGCGUAACACGUAUGCAACCUACCUUACAUUGGGGGAUAGCCUUUCGAAAGGGAGAUUAAUACCGCAUAAGACAGUAGCUGGGCAUCCAGCAGCUGUUAAAGAUUUAUCGAUGUAAGCUGGGCAUGCGUCCAAUUAGCUAGUUGGUGAGGUAACGGCUCACCAAGGCAAUGAUUGGUAGGGGAACUGAGAGGUCAAUCCCCCACACUGGCACUGAGAUACGGGCCAGACUCCUACGGGAGGCAGCAGUAGGGAAUAUUGGGCAAUGGACGCAAGUCUGACCCAGCCAUGCCGCGUGCAGGAUGAAGGCGUUAUGCGUUGUAAACUGCUUUUAUACAGGAAGAAACGACUCUUGCGAGAGGCAUUGACGGUACUGUAUGAAUAAGCACCGGCUAACUCCGUGCCAGCAGCCGCCGUAA
rnacentral:rRNA from 1 species